GUCUUUGUCCUUGCUUGUAUGUCAAGAUGUCACCUGGCACACCUUUAUCUUUUCCUCUGGAAACGCCCCCUCUAUUUUGAUUGGCUGUUUCUUCAGAUGGAGAACACAAAGAAGGUUGGAGAAGAAGCUACCUCUAACACCUGCAUUGACCUGGUAAACAUAAUGAGAGAGCUAGAUUCCCUUUCAAGGGCCUUGGAUCGUCUGGCACUGCGAACCCAUCAGAGACAAUGUGAUCUGAUUGUUUGUGUUGGCCACCCUGACAAGUUGGCGUCUCUAAAAAUCCAAGAGGCAGUGAAGCAGCAGUCCUCAGAGGUGUGAAUAAAGGAGAACAAGAAGGUGCAACAUCUAACCUUGUUGACCUCCCGAAGAGCAGCUUCAGCUUGGUGUCUUGUCAACUUUCCUCCAUACCAGCUGGAAUCCAAGCCCUGAGCGCACCAUGAUAGAACAGUCAGUUUUGUGUGAGACCUCUUGGUAUCUCACACCCUGGUGAUAGAGGAGGGCAGCAGUGAGAAGGGGUGAUCAAUCACGCUCAGACCCCCCUGAGCCACUCUGGGACAAUACACGAGUUCCCCUGGGGGGUCCUUGUGGCAGAACCCCCUACCUGUGUUUUCUUCUUUUGUCCUGAAUUGGAAACAUACCCUUGUGACAUGUAACUGCCACCAAAUGUGGUAUAAAUAAUAAAAAGAAAGUGAU